GUUUACAAAGUAGCAACACCGGAAGUUUGUUUUGACAGUGAAAAGUGUAAUGUGUUGCUAUGUGUUGUAGCUAGCUACUGUUUAUUACUAACACAUCCAUACAUUAGAAAUACCUCUUCAUUCUUAAGUGCUCACAUUGAUGAUUAAACCGACACGACAAUGUUCGCGGGGCUACCUGAGCUCGGAAUAUCUAACGGAGAAGAUCUUAAAGAAACUCUCACCAACUGCACUGAGCCUCUGAAAGCCAUUGACCAGUUUCAGAUGGAAAAUGGCAUCCUGCUGCCUACGCUUCAGUCGGCGCUUCCAUUCCUAGACCUCCACGGAACACCCCGUCUUGAGUUCCAUCAGUCUGUCUUUGACGAGCUUCGAGAAAAGCUGAUGGAGCGAGUUGCCCUCAUUGCAGAGGGCAAAGAGGAGGACAGAUAUGGGAAGCUUGAAGAGCUGCUGGAGAAGAGUUUUCCUCUUGUCAAAAUGCCAUCCAUCCAGCCAGUGGUAAUGCAGGUGUUGAAGCAUCUUCCAAAGGUGCCAGAGAAGAAACUGAAAAUGGUCAUGGCUGACAAGGAGCUAUACAAAGUGUGUGCUGUAGAGGUGAAAAGGCAGAUCUGGCAGGACAACCAAGCUCUCUUUGGAGAUGAAGUCUCCCCCCUCCUAAAGCAGUACAUUGUGGAAAAGGAAGCAGCUCUGUUCAGCAGUGACCUCUCUAUCCUUCACAAUUUCUUCAGCCCUUCACCCAAAACACGGCGCCAAGGCGAGGUGGUCCUCAAGCUGACCCAGAUGAUCGGAAAGAAUGUGAAGUUGUAUGACAUGGUGCUGCAGUUUUUGCGAACAUUAUUCCUGCGAACACGCAACGUCCAUUACUGCACACUGAGAGCAGAGCUGCUGAUGUCUCUGCAUGAACUGGACAUCAGUGAGAUCUGUUCUGUGGACCCUUGCCAUAAGUUCACUUGGUGUUUGGAUGCCUGCAUCCGUGAGAAGUUUGUGGAUGGCAAACGAGCUAGAGAGCUGCAAGGUUUCCUGGACGGAGUGAAGAAGGGACAAGAGCAAGUCCUCGGUGACCUGUCCAUGAUCCUAUGUGACCCAUUUGCCUGUAACACCCUGGUUCUGAGUAUCAUGAGGAACCUGCAGGAGCUGCUGAGCCAGGAAGGUUUACCCAGGGAAAGUUCGGACCUGAUGUUGCUGUUGAGGAUGCUGUCACUGGGUCAGGGAGCAUGGGACAUGAUUGACAGCCAGGUCUUUAAGGAGCCUCGUUUGGAUUCCGAGGUGGUCACUCGCUUUCUGCCUGCCAUGAUGUCAGUGUAUGUCGAUGAUCACAUAUUUGCCAUCGACCAGAAGCUUCCCAGUGAGGAGAAGACCGCACUGUCAUACCCUGCUACCCUGCCAGACAACUUCAACAGAUACCUGCAGGAGAACAGAGUAGCCUGUGAGAUGGGUCUGUACUAUGUUCUCCACAUUGCCAAACUGAGGAACAAGAAUGCCUUACAGAGGUUACUGCCUGCCCUGGUGGAUACCUACAAUGACAUGGCCUUCAGUGACAUCUUCCUCCACCUGCUAACCGCACACCUCACCCUGCUCUCUGAUGAGUUUGGUUCAGAGGAGUUCUGUUCAGUCAUCUUCGAUGGCUUCCUCCUCACUUCUUUCUCCAGUAAAGAGAACGUCCACAGACAUACUCUUCGAAUGUUGCUGCACCUGCACCCCAAAGUUCUGCCAUCGUUCAUGGAAAUCUUGAUGAAAACCCUUAAAACUCCCAAACAGUGCAGUGAGCCGCUGAAGGAGCUCUACACCCAGCUGACGGAUAAGCUGGAGGCCCAGAAGAAGAGCCCUCCACCACCAGAAGAAGCACCAUCCCUGGACCUAGGACUCCACCCAGUGACUGUCCCCACCACCGCCGCCGCCGCCGCCACACCAACCACUCCUCUCUGAGAUUGGGAUGCAGCACAGGUCUUUACCAGACAGCUCGAUAUGAAAAGACUGUACGUUUCACAUUAUUCUUUAUUGUUUUUUUUUUAUUUGUCAUUAAUUAGUUUCUUAAGAUGUUACAGUAUUUUCAUAUGUACCUGGUCUAUCAGUAUGUUCCAUUUUAAUUGUCAAUGCCAGAAAAUGUGUAAAUAAAUGAUUAUUAGAA